AACGAGGGGAUCACACUCUCCCUGACUUCUCAGGAAAGGAGGUGAAAGCACUAAAAAGGAGAUAAUCAUACCCUCCCUGACAUCUCAGGAAGGGAGAUGAAAAACACCAAAGGGAAGUGGGGACUCCUAAGAGGUUUCUGGGCUGAAGGGUUUUAUUAGAAACAGGUAUGCACAAACUCAUCAGCAUGGGAGGUAUUACACAAGCACAUAUCAAUAAUGCACAGGCUAUUAGUGAUGAUACUCCCCACAACCAGUGCAGGCUCAAUGUGGUGCAACAAACAUCAAUUGUACAUGCAAGUAGUGAUAUAAUAAACAAUAUGAAUCAACAUAGUGUUGUAAAAGAUUUCCAGAAGUCCUAGAAGGAGGGUAUGUAAACAACAGUCACACAUACACCUUCUUCAGCAGCCAAGAGAUAGUCCAAAACAAAUCUAUUGUCCAUUGCUUCACAUGUUAGGGGAUCCAAUGAUCCCUGCAAGUUUUUGAAGUCCUGUAACAGUCUUUUUAUGUGUUGGGAAAUCCAAUAAUUCCAGUACAUUUGGAAGGCCUGCAACAGUCUUAUGUCUCAGAGAAUCCAAUAAUUCCUGAGGCUUUUGAAGUCCUACAAUUUUUGAUGUCCAUGAAUCAAAUGCCAUAACUGCCAUGCUCAUUCAGUGGUGAGCACAGUCAGCCACGGAACCACCCGAUGUUUCUUGGGCCUUCUCCUUCCUUUCAUCUCUCUCGGAUGGACAAGGUGAAUUCGGCUCAUUGGCAGCCAUCUGAAUCCUUCUCCACCUGUGGAGAUACAAGCAAACCCUCUCCCCCAAGCAGUUUACCUGUCUGGUCCCUUCCAUUCACCACUUUCUGGGUCUCUCCACAUCAUCUGGCGAUUAUCUAAAGAUAGUGGAGCCCCUCACACUGGAUACUGCCCUUCCGGUGGGUUAUAAAACCUGCCUGCCAGAGCCAGUAAAUCUUUGUGAAAAAUCAAGAAAUUAAUAGUAUAAAGAACAAGAUUUAAAAGUUCUCUAGGGUUGCCUGUGGCUCCCCCUUUUAUUUUUGGAGGAACGUCUUAAUGUCUCUGUUUCUCCUCUCUACUACUGUCUGUACUUGAGGAUUAAAAGGUAUGCUAAUGGCAUGUAAAAUCUUAUACCUGUGCACAAAAGUGUGCAAAAUGUUUAGAAGUAUAUGAGG
rnacentral:lncRNA from 1 species